UGGGGAAUAUUGGACAAUGGGGGAAACCCUGAUCCAGCAAUGCCGCGUGAGUGAUGAAGGCCUUAGGGUUGUAAAGCUCUUUUACCAGGGAUGAUAAUGACAGUACCUGGAGAAUAAGCUCCGGCUAACUCCGUGGCAGCAGCCGCGGUAACACGGAGGGAGCUAGCGUUGUACGGAAUUACAGGGCGUAAAGCGCGCGUAGGGGGUUACUCAAGUCAGGGGUCAAAUCCCGGAGCUCAACUCCGGAACUGCCCUUGAAACUAGGUGACUAGAAUCUUGGAGAGGCGAGUGGAAUUCCGAGUGUAGAGGUGAAAUUCGUAGAUAUUCGGAAGAACACCAGUGGCGAAGGCGACUCGCUGGACAAGUAUUGACGCUGAGGUGCGAAAGCGUGGGGAGCAAACAGGAUUAGAUACCCCCGUAGUCC
rnacentral:rRNA from 1 species